rnacentral:rRNA from 1 species
GUGGGGAAUCUUAGACAAUGGGGGAAACCCUGAUCUAGCCAUGCCGCGUGAGCGAUGAAGGCCUUAGGGUUGUAAAGCUCUUUCAGAGGGGAAGAUAAUGACGGUACCCUCAGAAGAAGCCCCGGCUAACUCCGUGCCAGCAGCCGCGGUAAUACGGAGGGGGCUAGCGUUGUUCGGAAUUACUGGGCGUAAAGCGCACGUAGGCGGACCAGAAAGUCAGGGGUGAAAUCCCGGGGCUCAACCCCGGAACUGCCUUUGAAACUCCUGGUCUUGAGGUCGAGAGAGGUGAGUGGAAUUCCGAGUGUAGAGGUGAAAUUCGUAGAUAUUCGGAGGAACACCAGUGGCGAAGGCGGCUCACUGGCUCGAUACUGACGCUGAGGUGCGAAAGCGUGGGGAGCAAACAGGAUUAGAUACCCCGGUAGUCC